rnacentral:rRNA from 1 species
ACGAACGCUGGUGGCGUGCUUAACACAUGCAAGUCGAGCGGUAAGGCCCUUUCGGGGGUACACGAGCGGCGAACGGGUGAGUAACACGUGGGUGACCUGCCCUUAGCUCUGGGAUAAGCCUGGGAAACUGGGUCUAAUACCGGAUAUGACUCCAUGACGCAUGUUGUGGGGUGGAAAGCCUUGUGCGGCUAGGGAUGGGCCCGCGGCCUAUCAGCUUGUUGGUGGGGUGAUGGCCUACCAAGGCGACGACGGGUAGCCGGCCUGAGAGGGCGACCGGCCACACUGGGACUGAGAUACGGCCCAGACUCCUACGGGAGGCAGCAGUGGGGAAUUGUUCGCAAUGGGCGCAAGCCUGACGACGCAACGCCGCGUGGAGGACGAAGAUCUUCGGGUCGUAAACUCCUGUCGAGUGGAAAGAAUAA